UAGCAUUCGAGUUUCAUAAAGAAUUCCUGAAAAUUCCUACAUAAAAAUAUGCUAAAGAAAAAUUAAUUAAAUAUUGCUUGUUUAUUUUUCUCAGUUUCUCUCUCUUUCACCAAGUUUGCUCGUCACUGCCACUUCUCAUUUUGCGUCUCACCUUCUGCAUGUUCACUCCACUAGUUUCUCUUCCGUUAAACUUUUUACUUUCUCGCUUCAACUUUAUGAUCUCACUUCUAC
rnacentral:lncRNA from 1 species